CUUGUUUCUCACAAGUGUCUAUUUUUAUUAUUACUUCAUAUCUUCUACGAAAAUAAUAUCAUUUCAUGUAUACGUAAUAGUUCGAGUCCAAAGGAAGUGUUUAAAAUGAAUGAAGAUUCCUCUUGCUCAUAUUUUUUGUUCAACUCCUCUCAUGACGUUCUUUUUUCGCAUCUGCGGCCAUCAUUUGCACAGGCUCUCUAUCCAGACGACAUCCAAAAAGCUCAUGAUCAUAAUUUUAUAAUGCAUAUAUUUAGCCCUCUUCUCACAUCUCAUAAAAUUCUCAAGUCUCAUUUAGGUUUUGGAUAUGAAUCUCUCUCCUCUUUUAAUGAUUUCCAAUUGGUAAUAUCAGAACUUCUGAAUUACGUUUUUAUUAUAGUGGGUCGAAGAAAAAGCUCUCUCAAAAGGAAUACGUCUUUGUGUUUAGAUUAUCUCAAAAAACUAUGUGGCCCUAAUCCAGAAAUUUUGAAGACUUCAUUGGAGUAUGCUCAUUUGUUCAAAAAUGUUUUAGAUGGAAUGGAGAUCAUGGAGAAUAAUUUGAUGAGAAUAUUUGAUUCACUAAUUCGUCUACCAUGUUUGUCUCUGUAUGAGCAAAUCCAUCAAACCAUGGCAAAUACAUUAUCGAGAUACAGCAGGAACAAUUCCCAUCUAAUAUAUAUUGCAAUUGGAAAUAAUAGCACAAUGUAUCCCAUUGUUGCAUCGAAAAAUCAUGGGUUGAAUCCUUCAGACGUGAUAUUCGUUAUGACACUCAGUAGAAAUCCAACCAAGUUAGACUCAUUCUUACAUGAAGAUAAUUACUCAGUGGCAUGCUAUAGUGUUCUUCUUAAAACUCACAUCUCCUCCAUUAGCCCACAUACCGUUUAUGUUGUACAAAUAUCGGAAAGAAUUAAGGUUGCCUACAUUACAGAACCUAAAAUGAAGGGUCUAAAUCUCCUUGCACUGGGGCUGUCAACUCAGAUUGGUCUGCUAUCUAACAAGAGGGAAAUGGAGGAACAGACAUUUGUACCAUCAUCAGAUUUGGAGCUCCUGGCCAUCUCUGGGAAAACAAUACUUGAAAGAGCACGACCUCCAAGAGUGAAUAAGUCGGAGUAUCAGCGCUAUGUGCACGACUUUGCUUCUUUAUCUUCCAUACUAAAUAAAGCAAGAAUGAAUUUGGAAUAAUUCUUUAUAUUCAUAUCAAUUAACUUAUAUAAAAAUUAGAGGUCCAAGCAACUUUUGUUCUUCAGAAAUUUUAGUUUAAUGAAUACAUACCAAGUAAUUAUUCCAAAUUCAAUUCAAUACUCUAUUAGAGCACGACAGGAAGUAAACUGCGACCCUCCGGAAUAUCUGAGGCGAUUCUUGAACUCAUAAAAAAAUGGUUUACGGAGUUGUGUCUAAAUACAGAAGAAUCUCUGAGAGAAAGUUUAGACUCAGACGUCACUCAUGUCUUUGAAUCUCUUAAAAGUCAACUAGAGGAUUGGAACAUCGCUCUUAUGAGUUUUUUAGUAAACGACUUUGUUCCUCCUAAAGAAGAUAGCAUCAAUAAUCCUAGAGCAAUAUCUGUAUUGAAAAGUGUAAAAAAUCUUGAGUCUUGGGCAUUCAUUAAUCGAUCCGAGCGUGUACUUACCACUAAUAUUGAAGAAUGGCCCAAUUUAGAAGUCCUUGUCAGAGAGGGGAGCAAUUCUAUUCUAAGACGAGGAAACUUAACUGUUUGUAUUAGAGCAAAUUCUAAAAAAAUUGCUUACUUCCUCUGGUUUGAAGAUAUAAGUGGACAUAUUUUGAAGGUUUCAAAA
rnacentral:misc_RNA from 1 species